rnacentral:tRNA from 1 species
GCCAGCAUAGCUCAAUUGGUAGAGCAACUGACUUGUAAUCAGUAGGUUGCGGGUUCGAGUCCCAUUGCUGGCUCCA